GACGAACGCUGGCGGCGUGCUUAACACAUGCAAGUCGAACGGAAAGGCCCUGCUUUUGUGGGGUGCUCGAGUGGCGAACGGGUGAGUAACACGUGAGUAACCUGCCCUUGACUUUGGGAUAACUUCAGGAAACUGGGGCUAAUACCGGAUAGGAGCUCCUGCUGCAUGGUGGGGGUUGGAAAGUUUCGGCGGUUGGGGAUGGACUCGCGGCUUAUCAGCUUGUUGGUGGGGUAGUGGCUUACCAAGGCUUUGACGGGUAGCCGGCCUGAGAGGGUGACCGGCCACAUUGGGACUGAGAUACGGCCCAGACACCUACGGGAGGCAGAAGUGGGGAAUAUUGAACAAUGGGCGGAAGCCUGAUGCAGCAACGCCGCGUGCGGGAUGACGGCCUUCGGGUUGUAAACCGCUUUCGCCUGUGACGAAGCGUGAGUGACGGUAAUGGGUAAAGAAGCACCGGAUAACUACGUG
rnacentral:rRNA from 1 species